GUAAAGCUUCGCCGCAGGCUCGUCGCGCAUGCCGAUCAAGCUCGCUUUCAAAUUCGCUCGCGCUUUAGGCUGACGAGAAAGCGAAGGGAUUGCGCCUUCGCCAGAUGUGAAAGCGCUCGCUCGCCGCACACUUAACCGGAUGUACAGCGGAAACACCUGAUCGUCGCGCUGCUGCGGGCCACGUUGGACGUGCCGAACUACAGAACACUCGAGGACGGUGUUCGGCGUCGAUCUCUCGUCAGAGAUGUGGCUCGUCGAUCGUUCGAUACCUUGCUUCGCGAAACACCCACAUUCACCUGGAAUCGUCGUCAGCGAGCGCCGUGCAUACGUUUCGCGACGAUUUAGGAUCAGCUUAGCAACGAUUGACAUCGACGGAAUGACUACCGCACCAGUAGAGGUGGUCAGAGCUGAAGAGCCAUGUGUAUAAAUGGGAACUCAAUUGGAGCACGAACCAUGCAGUAGAUGUAGAGCGGCUUGAUAGAGGGCGCAAGUUGGCAGGUCGAACUUUUUUCCAACUUCUGGAAUGGACAGCCGCACUUGUGGCAUAUGCUCAGAGAAGUGCCAUUCAAGUAUAAUUUUUGAGGGUUUCUUUCU